rnacentral:rRNA from 1 species
UAUCUCUGUAGAGUCUGCAUAUCAAUAAGCGGAGGAAAAGAAACUAACAAGGAUUCCCCUAGUAACGGCGAGUGAAGCGGGAAGAGCUCAAAUUUGAAAUCUUCAAGGUUUGACCUUGACGAAUUGUAGUUUAAAGAAGUGUUUUCGGUUAGAGGAGUAGUAAAAGUUCUUUGGAAUAGGACAUCAUAGAGGGUGAGAAUCCCGUAUUUGACUAUUCUUUCUAGCUUUGUGAUACACUUUCAAAGAGUCGGAUUGUUUGGGAAUGCAGUCCAAAAUGGGUGGUAAAUUUCAUCUAAAGCUAAAUAUUGGCGAGAGACCGAUAGCGAACAAGUACCGUGAGGGAAAGAUGAAAAGAACUUUGAAAAGAGAGUUAAACAGUACGUGAAAUUGUCAAAAGGGAAGCGUUUGACACCAGUGUUGUUUUUCCGAAAAUCAAUUAAAAAUUGAUUCAUGCCAGGUUGUAUUGACCUUAUCAGCUUGCAAUUUGGUUUUGGGUCUCUUUUUGAUGCACUUUUCGGUUAACAAGUCAGCAUCAAUUUCCUUUGCUGUAAAAAGGUAAGAGGAAGGUGGCUUCAAUUUCGGUUGAAGUGUUUAUAGCCUUUUAUCUCUGCAGUCGGGGAGAUUGAGGUCUGCAGCGUAGAUCCUUCGGGGCUAGAUACAUUUAUGCUAAGUUAUAGCUUUUCAUAGACAACUUGUUGACUAUGUUUAGUCAUGUAGCUUACUCGUAAGUGCUAUUUUACCUACGCUUAGGAUGUUGAAGACUCUACAGAGAUA